AAGACCAGUAGAAAAUACAGUGGUUCGUUCUUGCUUUGUUAGAAACUUCUCUCAGCGUUUCUUGACGAAGAAUACUUUUUCCAUCUCUCUCGCUCUCCCUCUCCCUUCCCCUCCCCUCCGUUGUUUAAAAACCGCACACCUGGGUUGCAAGGGAGAGAGCGCAAAGCAGCGCAGUCCACCUAUUCAGCAGAGAAUACCCACCUACACUAAGCCGCUAUAACCGAGAGGUCGUUUCAUUGCGACAGAAAUAGAGAUACCGGUGCGCUUUUUCUCUUCCUAGUUUUAUUUUCCCACUUCUUUUAAUUUCACCUCCUCCUCCUAAAUAGAAAGUGGUGUGAAAAUGAUAGGAGAUCAAAAGAAAAGAAGCUGAUGGGCAUCUGCAAAUGGGUGUCAAAGGCAAUUUGGAGGAACAAGUGGGUGAAUUCAGUUCUGGUAGGAUAAUUGGGGAUCUCAAGCUGCCGGCGUUCCCAGUCCCCCUAAACCUUGCUACCAACAAAGCGUUUCCAUUGGUGGCUUGGUGUCCCUUGUCCCCAGCCUUAAGUCCUGAAAAAAUACACAGUCCACAAUUUGAUCACUGGGACCGACCUUUCCUUUCUCGGCGAGCUUACUAGCCUAAUUGACAGCUGGCGGCGGUUGAUCCAGAGUUUAGUUGCAGGAAACGUUCCCGGAUUCCAAGCUGACUAACGGGUUGGUCCCUCAAAUCCUACUCCCCGAUCCUACUGCGCAUAGCUGGUUAUAACGAAUGGAGUGGGGGGAAAAAAGCAUUCUGUCUAUGCUCAGCAGAACUUUCGUUAAAUACUAAGCCCCCAAAUCCUGGGCUUGCUCGCGCAAGAUAACAGUCGAGGACCUCACGCUAAGCCCCGAGACUUAAUUCCCGGGGAAACCGAGUCUUAGGAUAGCUCUAUUGAGAAUAGACCUAUAGAAAUAUAGAAUAGAAAGGUCUAUUGCCUUUCUCAGCCAUUGAUGGAGGGGCAAGGAAGAAAACCGAGAAGAAGCCCUGCCAUCUGAGCGACGGAAGGCAGGAAGACGGUGCCGGCAGCUGCUUUCAUGGAUCUCCGCGGAUAGCCAGGCAGGAGCCCGAAGGUGCGCUAAAACCUCCAGAACUCGGACAACUGGGCAGGGGUGGAGAGAUUAACAAGCUCAGCUAUGCCCCGUCGUGGUGCACUAAUCACGUAGGAACCCCAAAACUCCGACGGAACCGGGAAAACAGCCCGGGGCGCGGGGUCCAGGGGCCGCUCCAAAGUUUAUAUGAUAACUGAACGCUUUGAUUCGAAGAGCAAAAAGCUUCGGUGACACCUCGGCUUUUGUCAAGAACGACCUUCUCGCUCCGAAGUCGAGAUUCGGCAUAAACGUUUUUUUGCUUAAAGGAAAAGUUUAGAUCUUGUUGGAAAUACUUUUUUUCUAGCACUCUGAAAAGUCGUGAUUUGAAAAAAAAAAUAAAUGGAAAACUCCUCGGUUCCCCCCCUUCCCCCGGGGUACGUCCUCCACUCCGGAGCCUUUGGGUUACUCUGAGAACUUCACUGUUUGAUGCGCCCUAUCAUCCGGGUUUAUUUCUCCGACUUCUGGAGAUAGUUUUUAAUGGAGUGGUUGCCUCCACUUUCCUUGCCGUAACCUGACUUUGGGACUCUGACUCUCGUGUCGUUUUAUCAGGAAAGGGGCUAUCGAUCCCAAGGGGUUACACCUCUAAUCAGCUGCUUUCAAAUCGAAGGGUGAGCGCAGCAAACAGACGCGAAGGAGUUAGGAGACGAAGCUUUUCACGCCGACUGCACCCCGGCUGCGCCUCCGGACUGCACCGCGCAGAAGAUGGAAUUCAGUAAGAUUUAUCCUCCAUUGUGUGAGGACCGUUUGGGGGCCGGGGAGAGAGAAAGAAAGUCUCUCUGUCCUAGGAAAGGUUUUAUGUAGUCCAGUUGCCUGCAUUUACCUAAAUCGCGGGGUCCCACCAAGCCGACAGAGGAUAAGGAAACGGCUCUUGCCAUUGAAAUAAGCGGAGCUCACUCUCCGUGGAGAGCUGCUGUACAAGACCGAGUUGCAAGGUCUCGCUGAAAUUAAUUAGGCUGUGGGGUCCGAUGAUUCCAAAGUUACUAAGCUGCUUGUCUAGGAACAAUAAAAAGCAGGCAAAAGAGACACGAACAAACGGGAAGCUCUUUAGUUUUAAGGCGCCAAACCUCAACAAAACAAAAAUACAGCUUGGGCGCUAAAGGUGUUGUGUUAGCUAGCAGAAAGGGGAUUACAAACACUUAGGCUGAUUUUGGUGGGACGGCGAGUAGCCAUUAUAUUGCACUAGACAUCAACGUCAUUCUAAGAGCUUUACGUUCCAAUGUCGCCCCUGAAAUGAAUAUUUACGGUAGGUGGCCACCGGCAAGCCCUUCGCUCGCAACCCCAUUUUCCACCCGUGGUUAAAGACAACAGAAACUCGUCUUCUCCACGGGUUUGCAAGAACUGCAUAGUGAAUGUAGGAACGAAGCCUUCCAAACACUUGGAAACACAAAAUCCAUCUUCAUUCCCCUUAGACUGAAACGCCACGGACCCAGAGACAGACUCCAGAGUGUCCUCGGAAUGGCGUCUUCCGAAGAGGCAACGCAAGACGGGACUCAGCUGGACUAGGCUCAAGUCAGAGAGUGGUGGAGUGAAGUUUAUCAACGUUUUUCGCGUUCCCGUUUUUCAAUGCUGUUCGGCUACUCGAGCCAAAAAUCCAAUUAUGGCCACCGGUCAGUGUCCUGGCUCCUUUCCGGAUUAGGACCUUUCCGUCAAGUUGCUCUCUCUAGCAUUUCGGGAAGUGAAUUUUCAUCUGGAGGGGGAGGAAUGAGGGGCUUCUCUGGUCCAAUGGCGAUCCGCAGAAGGGACCGUUUGUCGAAGUCUGAGGCUUUUGGGUCUCCUUCCCAUUAGUCCCAAUGAAAAAUAGCAAUUUCAGGGGAAAGCGCCGACAACCACAAAUACAUGCACCCCAGGUAGCAAGUCUGCAGUUGAGGACCCCUGGCCUACCGCAUCUGAACUGUCAAAUAGUGGUAAAGAGCCCUCUUUGCUUCCUCCUUGUGGUCGCCUGGAGUUUUACAGCACCAAUUCUCCACUCUAUUUGCAUUUGGACCGAGAAAUGCUUCAUAGAUAUUCAAAAGUACUUAUUUCUAUAAGAAAAAAACCAAAAAGGAGGUGUGUGUGUGUAUUGGAGGGGGAGGAAGUAAAGCUUAUUCACACGCCUUAAAUUAUUCUAGAGACUCCUGUAUAUUGAGCAGGUGGAUCAUAAGAACUAUUCAGAGUUUGGCGAAUUGCAGCCAAAACCGAAAUUCUAAAAAUUGGCACUUGAAUCUCUGGGCUUUUUACCUACGCAAUAACAAUCAGUAAACUUUUUAAUAAAUUAAAGGGCAGUUAAAUCAUCUGAUGUCUAAAUUUGUUUCAAAGAAUGUGUUUGCUUUUAUUCCAGCUUUCCUUUAGGGAAAUCAAGGUAGUGUUGGAUAAAGUUGCACGCUGACUUCUCCACCAGAGACACUGCUUGGCUCCAGCAGUCUGCCUUAUUUUCACUUAAAGUCAGUCCAGAGUGCUCUCUGCUAAACCAGACUGUUCGCCGGAUUGGGUCUAUCGAUAUCCCUGCUAGCAGUUUGGGGAUUGUAAAUUGCUAACAGGAUUCCAGGCUGGAUGUAACUAAAACAUCUCUACAUUGUUUUUGUUCUUGAUCUUGUGCCGAUUUGCUUUUGGAAGAAUAAAACGGAUAUUUUUGUCUCUUAAA